GACGAACGCUGGCGGCGUGCUUAACACAUGCAAGUCGAACGGAAAGGCCCUGCUUUUGUGGGGUGCUCGAGUGGCGAACGGGUGAGUAACACGUGUGUAACCUGCCCUUGACUUUGGGAUAACUUCAGGAAACUGGGGCUAAUACCGGGUAGGAGCUCCUGCUGCAUGGGGGGGGUUGGAAAGUUUCGGCGGUUGGGGCUGGUUUAGCUGCUUAUCCGCUUGAUUGUGGGGUAGUGGCUUACCAAGGGUUUGAAGGGUAGCCUGCCUUAGAGCGUGGCCGGCCACAUUGCGCCUGAGAUACGCCCCAGUAGCCAACGGGCGGCAGCAGGCGGAAAUAUUGCACAAUGGGCGCGAGCCUGAGGCGGCAACGCCGCGUGCGGAAUACUGGCCUUCGAGUUGAAAACAGCUUUCGACUGUACCGAAGCGUGCGUGACGGUAAUGGGUAAGGAAGCAACGGCUAACUACGUG
rnacentral:rRNA from 1 species